rnacentral:rRNA from 1 species
GAUGAACGCUGGCGGCGUGCCUAAUACAUGCAAGUCGAGCGAACAGAUGAGGAGCUUGCUCCUCUGACGUUAGCGGCGGACGGGUGAGUAACACGUGGAUAACCUACCUAUAAGACUGGGAUAACUUCGGGAAACCGGAGCUAAUACCGGAUAAUAUAUUGAACCGCAUGGUUCAAUAGUGAAAGACGGUUUUGCUGUCACUAAUAGAUGGAUCCGCGCCGCAUUAGCUAGUUGGUAAGGUAACGGCUUACCAAGGCAACGAUGCGUAGCCGACCUGAGAGGGUGAUCGGCCACACUGGAACUGAGACACGGUCCAGGCUCCUACGGGAGGCAGCAGUAGGGAAUCUUCCGCAAUGGGCGAAAGCCUGACGGAGCAACGCCGCGUGAGUGAUGAAGGUCUUCGGAUCGUAAAACUCUGUUAUUAGGGAAGAACAAAUGUGUAAGUAACUAUGCACGUCUUGACGGUACCUAAUCAGAAAGCCACGGCUAACUACGUG